rnacentral:tRNA from 1 species
UAGCCUAGUGGUUAAGGCUAUGGAUCGCCAUUCCGAGGACGGCGGGUUCGAUUCCCGU